rnacentral:rRNA from 1 species
GAUGAACGCUGGCGGCGUGCCUAAUACAUGCAAGUCGAGCGAACAGACGAGGAGCUUGCUCCUCUGACGUUAGCGGCGGACGGGUGAGUAACACGUGGAUAACCUACCUAUAAGACUGGGAUAACUUCGGGAAACCGGAGCUAAUACCGGAUAAUAUAUGGAACCGCAUGGUUCAAUAGUGAAAGACGGCUUUGCUGUCACUUAUAGAUGGAUCCGCGCCGCAUUAGCUAGUUGGUAAGGUAACGGCUUACCAAGGCGACGAUGCGUAGCCGACCUGGGAGGGUGAUCGGCCACACGGGAACUGGGACACGGUCCAGACUCCUACGGGAGGCAGCAGUAGGGAAUCUUCCGCAAUGGGCGAAAGCCUGACGGAGCAACGCAGCGUGAGUGAUGAAGGUCUUCGGAGCGUAAAACUCUGUUAUUAGGGAAGAACAAAUGUGUAAGUAACUAUACACGUCUUGACGGUACCUAAUCAGAAAGCCACGGCUAACUACGUG